rnacentral:rRNA from 1 species
UACAGAGGUCUCAAGCGUUGUUCGGAUUCAUUGGGCGUAAAGGGUGCGUAGGCGGCGCGGUAAGUCGGGUGUGAAAUCUUGGAGCUUAACUCCGAAACUGCAUUCGAUACUGCCGUGCUUGAGGACUGGAGAGGAGACUGGAAUUUACGGUGUAGCGGUGAAAUGCGUAGAUAUCGUAAGGAAGACCAGUGGCGAAGGCGGGUCUCUGGUACGGCACUGACGCUGAGACGCGAAAGCGUGGGGAGCAAACAGG